AGCCUUUGUGUUGCUCAUUCACUUUUGAAAGCUAGUGAAUGUGGUGUCCAAAAAAAGCAUUGAUAAAAGCUUUGCAGCUUUUCCCUGCCCAUGUAUUUGGUAUAGUUGGUGUAGGAGCUGCACAAGCAACAGUU
ensembl:snoRNA small nucleolar RNA SNORA13